rnacentral:rRNA from 1 species
AGAGGACCGGGAUGGACGUACCUCUGGUGUACCAGUUGUUCUGCCAAGGGCAUGGCUGGGUAGCUAUGUACGGAAUGGAUAAGCGCUGAAAGCAUCUAAGCGCGAAGCCAACUUCAAGAUAAGAUUUCCCACCGCAAGGGUAAGACUCCAGAAAGACUAUCUGGUUGAUAGGUCGAAGGUGUAAGUGCAGCAAUGUAUUUAGCUUAUCGAUACUAAUAGGUCGAGGACUUGACCAAU